rnacentral:rRNA from 1 species
UACGUAGGGGGCAAGCGUUGUCCGGAUUUACUGGGCGUAAAGAGCGCGCAGGCGGUCGUUCAAGUCGAGUGUGAAAGCCCCCGGCUCAACUGGGGAGGGUCAUUCGAUACUGAUCGACUCGAAGGCAGGAGAGGGUAGUGGAAUUCCCGGUGUAGUGGUGAAAUGCGUAGAUAUCGGGAGGAACACCAGUGGCGAAGGCGACUACCUGGCCUGUUCUUGACGCUGAGGCGCGAAAGCUAGGGGAGCAAACGGGG